UCAGUUCUAGAGUGUAUGAAGAACCAAAUGAUGUAACUGUAUGCGACCUGGCUGUAGUG
rnacentral:lncRNA from 1 species